rnacentral:rRNA from 1 species
AUUGAACGCUGGCGGCAGGCCUAACACAUGCAAGUCGAACGAGUGGCGGACGGGUGAGUAAUGUCUGGGAAACUGCCCGAUGGAGGGGGAUAACUACUGGAACCGGUAGCUAAUCCCGCAUACCAUCGGAUUUGCCCAGAUGGGAUUAGCUAGUAGGUGGGGUAACGGCGCACCUAGGCAACGAUCCCUAGCUGGUCUGAGAGGUUGACCAGCCACACUGGAACUGAGACACGGUCCAGACUCCUACGGGAGGCAGCAGUGGGGAAUAUUGCACAAUGGGCGAAAGCCUGAUGCAGCCAUGCCGCGUGUAUGAAGAAGGCCUUCGGGUUGUAAAGUACUUGCAGCGAGGAGGCGUUACUCGCAGAAGAAGCACCGGCUAACUCCGUGCCAGCAGCCGCGGUAAUUC